CUUUGAAUUUUAGCCUAGACUCCAAAGCCCAUCAGUGAGUAGAGGAACUCAGGUGUUAAAAAGUAAACUCAUCAUGAUAAGGUAGGAGAGAUGUGGAGAGGCAGGUCCAUCAGAAGUCCUGAGUAUGGGUCUGGCCCUGGGAAGCAUUUGCAAGCUCAUUUCUGUGUUACAAUGCUCUCUCUCUCUCUCAUACCUUCUAUUCUUUAGAGAAUUGAGGACAAGGGCCUAUCCAAUAUUUGGCCUGAAGUAAAAGAAAAGAACAAUGUAUCUUGCUAAAAAUAGUAGUGACAAUGGUGGUCACCAACAAAGGACAACUUUGCCAAGCAGAACGAUAAACUAAUGAGCGUUACAAGCAGCAGAGGCCUGAGGGUCAUAUGAGAAAGACCGAACAGAGCAGAGAGGAUCUGAACCGAAGAACCAAUCUGCUAUGGUCUGGAUGUCUGUGUCCUCUGAAAAAUUCGUAUGUGGAAACCAAUGACCAAUGUGAUGGUAUGAAGAGUGAGGCCUCUGGGAAGUGGCUAGAUCCCUCAUGAAUGAGGUAGAUAUGAGCAUGUAGGAGUGAACAUGUACAGAAAAAGAAUCACUUACAGAAGAAUAAGUCAAAAUGUCACCCAUAUCACAAGGAAGUGGCCCUCUCUGAGCAGAGUCAGAAUAUGCCUCCAUCCCAUAUCGCAGCUGCUACUUGGUCAAUCAUCAAACCUGAAGGAAAGCCAGGGGAGGAAGUCUGCAAGGAAAGAAGGAUGAAAGAUUUGUCACAAGAAUCAUUUCUACUUCACAGAAAAAUCUUCAAGUGUGAUCUGAACCAUCUCAUAGUUUCAGCCAUCUUACAGACCAACGUGUUCAAAACUCUACUCAAGCCUAAAGUUACCUCCUGAGUAUCAGGCCGCAGUUUCCAUGUUCCACAUGAGACAUCUUCACUUGAAUAUCCCCUAGCCUGCUUAGGUUCAACAUAUCUAGAAUAAAAGUAUUAUCUUCAUCUCCA
rnacentral:lncRNA from 13 species